rnacentral:rRNA from 1 species
AUGCCUGUGGGUCUUUUCGUUGGAGUGAACAAUCACUACCAAUCUGCACUGUUUGGGUGUGUUAUUCUCAGAGAAGAAACAGAAGACUCAUUCAAGUGGCCAUUUUCUACCUUUGUUGAAGCCAACGGCGGGAAGACGCCACAGACGAUACUCACAGAUCAAUGCCGGCAGAUGGAAGUUGCUAUCGCUCAUACAAUGCCCUCUACAGUCCACCGUUUGUGCAAAUGGCACGUUAUGAAAAGUAUAAAGGAGAAUCUUCGGGCAUUAUAUAAGAAAGGGACCCCAUUCCGAAUUGACUUUAAUCGUCUCACGAAUGAGAUGAUGACUGGCGAUGAGUUCGACCGUGGAUGGGCUUAUCUAAUGGACACCUAUGGACUUGCUGGCAACAGGUACAUGGCACAUAUAUAUGAUUGCCGUGACAAAUGGGCCAAACCCUACCUCAGCUCGAACUUCUGCACCAAGAUGUGUAGCACGCAAUGUAAUGAGUGCAUGAAUAAUGUGCUGAAAAGCUAUGUUUCGCUUUCAGCACCUCUCAACCGUUUUGUGCUGCAGUAUAACAAGCUCAUAGCACAGCGGUGCGAGGAUGAAGACUUUGAGAUGGCACACACAAAGAAGGAUGGUAAGGUCCUCCAUACAAACUUUCCUAUCGAGCGUCACGCAUCCAAGGUUUACACGCGCUCCUUGUUCAAGUUG